GUUUGUCCCGAAUUUUUAAACCUAUUUAGUUACAUGGCCAUAAAAAUUUGCAAAUUUACUCGAAAAAAUAUGCAAAUUAGCUUAAUAUGGCCAAGAGAAUUUGAAGAAAUUAAUCCUGGAAAAUGGUACUACAUAAGAAUCGUAAUUUUCUUGAUAACUUAUGGUGUUUUUCCUUUUUGCACGUUUUUGCACGCAGUUGUAGUAAUACACAACAAUUUAAAUAUUCGUAUUAGUGAGGACAUUGGAGCAGUAGUUUCAAAUAUUGGUAUUUCUUACAUGGCAAUAAUUUACGUGCAACAGCAAAAUCAAAUAGCACAUCUCUUGAAAGAGUUGUCAGAUUUUAAAGAUUUUGGGAAACCUCCAUUUUUUGAGGAAGAAAAUAAGAGAUUAAAUUUUUGGUCAAUUUGCACAUUUAUUUAUCCAACUUGUGGUGCUUCUUUAUAUAAUUUAUCAAAAAUUUUGGAAAAAUCAAAAUGUAACGAAAUUAACGAAGAAAAUGGGUUACCAGCAACUUGUGGAUUUAUUUUUCCAAUUUGGGUUCCGUUUAACAUUAACUAUUUUCCGCUUUUUCACAUUAUGUUAAUCAGCACUUGGUUUUGCACCACUAUGUUCGUAAGACUACAUUUAUCAAUAUCCUACAAUGCGUUUGAAAUCGCACAUCAUAUUAUUUUGAGGAUAAAGCAUUUAAAUGGGAUGAUAAUCACAUGUUUUGAUUGCCAAGAUUACAAAAUCAGUCGGCAAAAAUUUACGACGUGUAAUCUGUACUACAAACAAAUAUUAGAUUUGUCAAAUCGACUAAAUCAAAGUUUCUCAAGCAUUAUGUUUGUUCAUUUCACUAUGACCUCAGCUGUUUGCGGGUGUUUGGAGAAACAAUUUGUUGAUGGUGAAUAUGUAGGUGGUUUUAUUCACUUAGUUGGAUGGAUUAUAUCAUUAUUUAUCGCUUCAGUUGGAGGACAAGAUCUUGUUAAUGCU